GAUGAACGCUGGCGGCGUGCCUAAUACAUGCAAGUCGAGCGAACGGACGAGAAGCUUGCUUCUCUGAUGUUAGCGGCGGACGGGUGAGUAACACGUGUAUAACCUACCUAUAAGACUGGUAUAACUUCGGGAAACCGGAGCUAAUACCGGAUAAUAUUUUGAACCGCAUGGUUCAAAAGUUAAAGACGGUCUUGCUGUCACUUAUAGAUGGAUCCGCGCUGCAUUAGCUAGUUGGUAAGGUAACGGCUUACCAAGGCAACGAUGCAUAGCCGACCUGAUAGGGGGAUCGGCCACACUGGAAGUGAGACACGGUCCAGACUCCUACGGGAGGCAGCAGUAGGGAAUCUUCCGCAAUGGGCGAAAGCAUGACGGAGCAACGCCGCGUGAGUGAUGAAGGUCUUCGGAUCGUAAAACUCUGUUAUUAGGGAAGAACAUAUGUGUAAGUAACUGUGCACAUCUUGACGGUAACUAAUAAGAAAGCCACGGCUAACUACGUG
rnacentral:rRNA from 1 species